rnacentral:rRNA from 1 species
UGCGCAGGCGGGGCAAUUAGUCAGUGGUGAAAUCCUGCGGCUUAACCGUAGAACUGCCAUUGAUACUGUUGCUCUUGAGUAUAGUUGAGGUGGGCGGAAUAUGUAAUGUAGCGGUGAAAUGCAUAGAUAUUACAUAGAACACCGAUUGCGAAGGCAGCUCACUAAGCUAUCACUGACGCUGAGGCACGAAAGCGUGGGGAGCGAACAGGAUUAGAUACCCUGGUAGUC